rnacentral:rRNA from 1 species
GAUUGACCUCGGAUCAGGUAGGGAUACCCGCUGAACUUAAGCAUAUCAAUAAGCGGAGGAAAAGAAACCAACAGGGAUUGCCUCAGUAACGGCGAGUGAAGCGGCAACAGCUCAAAUUUGAAAUCUGGCUCCUUCGGGGCCCGAGUUGUAAUUUGUAGAGGACGUUUCGGGUGCGGCCCGGUCUAAGUCCCUUGGAACAGGGCGUCAUAGAGGGUGAGAAUCCCGUAUGUGACCGGUGACCAACCCCAUGUGAAACCCCUUCGACGAGUCGAGUUGUUUGGGAAUGCAGCUCAAAAUGGGUGGUAAAUUCCAUCUAAAGCUAAAUACUGGCCAGAGACCGAUAGCGCACAAGUAGAGUGAUCGAAAGAUGAAAAGCACUUUGGAAAGAGAGUCAAACAGUACGUGAAAUUGUUGAAAGGGAAGCGCUGGCAACCAGACCUGCCCCGGGCGAUCAGCGGGUGUUCUCACCCGUGCACUCGCCCGCGAUCAGGCCAGCAUCGGUUUCGGCGGUCGGAUACAGACCCGGGGAACGUGGCUCUCUUCGGGGAGUGUUAUAGCCCCGGGUGCAAUGCGGCCAGCCGGGACCGAGGACCGCGCUUCGGCUAGGAUGCUGGCGUAAUGGUUGUCAGCGAC